UACAGAGGGUGCGAGCGUUGUCCGGAAUCACUGGGCGUAAAGGGCGCGUAGGCGGUCUGCUAAGCGUGUGGUGAAAGCUCGGGGCUCAACCCCGAGUCGGCCGUGCGAACUGGUGGACUGGAGCAUGUCAGAGGCAGGCGGAAUUCCGGGUGUAGCGGUGGAAUGCGUAGAGAUCGGGAAGAACAUCGGUGGCGAAAGCGCUCUACUGGACGGUAUCUGACACUGAGGGACGAAAGCUAGGGGAGCGAAUGGG
rnacentral:rRNA from 1 species